rnacentral:rRNA from 1 species
AUAACUUUCAACAAUGGAUCUCUUGGCUCUCGCAUCGAUGAAGAACGCAGCGAAAUGCGAUAAGUAAUGUGAAUUGCAGAAUUCAGUGAAUCAUCGAAUCUUUGAACGCACCUUGCGCUCCUUGGUAUUCCGGGGAGCAUGCCUGUUUGAGUGUCGUUAAA